rnacentral:lncRNA from 1 species
GUGGACGGACAGAGACCCAUCAGGCGGGGAGGGCCUGGGCGGUGGCGGCGCCCCCUUGGUGGGGCCGCAGAGCGGAGGAGCAGCAGCUGCCACCGGCCGGAAGCCUGCUGGCUCGGCCGAGAACAAUGGCCGCCUGUCACUGUGGACAGCUGUCUCCCAGGCUAAGGCAAGGCUGCGCUCCCAGGGAAUGCGGGCAGGGAGCCAGGGCGGAGGGCAGAGGACGAGAGCGAGGAGGAGAGCGCGGGCACCCACUGAUGCUGGCGGCCUCGGGUAUUCGCUUUCUCUCUCUUCUCCCACCUUGUUCCUUUUCCCCGGAUGCACGCAUGCACUAGUAAUGCCGAAUUUAGAACAACAGGGAAAGGAAAGGAAAUGGCAAAGGAAGGGAAAGGAAAUGGCCGACAGGAAAUGGCAAGGAAGGGAAAAUCCACUGCAACUCUGCUGCCUGCUGGCCUGUCCAGGGACAACUAUUCAGCUGGGUGGGACGUUGCUACCCCCUUGUGGCACCCCUGCUGCAGCCUGCGAUUCUUACGCCCUGUAUUUCUGGUCUAACAUCAACCAACACUUUGGCGAAAUAUAAUAAAAUGAAAUUACUAGGAGAAUGAAAGAAAGUCACAUGAAAUAAAAGCCCUGCUUUUUAAUGAUUAUAUCCUCUGUGAAAUGGAUCUGCAGCCCUCUCCAUUUCUGGGUUCCCCUGGCCACACCAUGCUUAUGGCUGUCCCAGGAGCAGGCUGACAGACAAGCUUCCACCAGCAUCUAACCAUGGGGCUCAUGGACACCGUAGAGCGUCUCCACCCAACAGAAUCCUGACUUGGGGGCAGCUGAGGCAGGGGGCCCGAGCGUUGAGGGGACCACGCUGCUGCCCCGAGACCUGCUGGCAUGCCACCUGGCCAACCCUGACUUCGCCUGCCCGGGCGCAUGUUAACUGAGUUACAACACUGAGGGCACUUGAACCUGGCUGCAUGACCAGAGAUCGAUCACCUGUGAGAUCCUCUGUGAAACGGGAUAAGCAUCUUUAAUUUCCUGGGCUGUUCUGGAACUUCAGUCAGACAGGACACAGGAGGGUGUCUGCACCACCCACCCCUGCCUCGUGGGCUGACUGGGAACUAUAUGACCUGUGGAGGGCUGUGACCGCCACCCUCCACCUCACUGGGGCCGCAAGCCUUCUCUGCUCCUUGAUUCUGCUGCCGUUGUGAGCGAGGGCCCCAGCACCCUUAGGGACCCCAAUCAAUGGGCUUCCCACAAUGUCGUCACCCUUUGUUGCCUGCUAAGCAGCCCUGGGGCCACCUCAGAAGAAACAGAACUCACAGGUCACAGGGGCCUUUUCCUCCUCGUCAUCGUCCUCCUCCUCUUCUUCUUCCUCCCUGGGCAACUUCCUGAAUUCGGAAAGGUCUGUCUGUAGCAGCUGUGAAACUGCUUCGUGGGCCAGAGCAGCAGCAAGUGGUGGCGGGGCCUUCCUAGGGAUGAGGAGGGGGAAGUGAGGGGCAGCCCCCAGCAGGAGACCACACCUAGCCCCCCUUCCCCAACUGUCAGCCCACAUGCUGAGGGGUCACGGCCAGCAGGGCGGCCCCUGUCCUCAGGGAGCUGGGACAGGAAGGUCACAGGACAGCAAAGGCAGACGCACAACCAUCUGGUGGGGAGCUGGACCAUACUUGAGCCUGCGGCUAGUUGGGAGGGGGCUGUUGAUGGGCAAGUAAACUGCCUGACAUCCAUGCUGAUGAUGGCUCCUGGCCACAGGAGGGCAGAGGAAUCACCCAUGCCAGCUGGGGACCCUGGGGGGUGGGGAGUGUUCUGGGUUGAAUUGUGUCCCCCCUAAAUUCAUACACUGAGGCCCUAACCCCCAGUACCUCAGAAUGGAGCUCAUUUGGAAACAGGGUCAUUACAGAUGGAAUUAGUUAAGAUGACGUCAUGCUGGAGCAGGCUGGGCCCCUACUCCAAUGACUGAUGUCUCUAUGAAAAAGGGAAUUUGGGCCGGGUGCGGUGGCUCACAUCUGUAAUCCCAGUACUUUGGGAGGCCAAGGCAGGUAGAUCACGAGGUCAGGAGUUUGAGGGCGCAUGCCUGUAGUUCCAGCUACUCAGGAGGCUGAGGCAGAAGAAUUGCUUGAACCUGGGAGGUGGAGGUUGCAGUGAGCCAAGAUUGUGCCACUGCACUCCAGCCUAGGCGACAGAGCAAGAUGCUGUCUCCAAAAAAAAAAAACAGGUUGGGGGAGGAAUUUGGACACAGACACACACACACAGAGAGAAUGCCAGGGGAACAUGAGGCAGAGACCUGGGGGAUGAACCUACAAGCCAGGGAAUGCCAAGGGUUGCCCACAAACCACCAGAAGGAGCCAGUUCUGUCAAUAUCCUGAUCUCAGAUGACAGCCUCCAGCACCAUGAAGCACACUUCUGUUGUUUAAGCUGCUGGGUCUGUGGUCAUUUGUACAGCAGCUCCAGGAAGCUGAUCCUGGGGUGUGGGACCCAUGGGCACACUCAGCAGAGGAAGUGGCUGUGCGUGGUCCACAAGGUCCCUGGGCGGAUGGGGCCAUAGGAGCUGCCGGGGUGAGGGGCUGUGGGAACAGGGCAGGCCAAGCUUUAUGCUAACAGGGAAGCACUGCCAUUGGUCUGUGUUUUAUUUAUUUAUUUUUAGAGACAGGGUCUUGCUCUGUCUCCCAGGCUGGAGCACAGCUGUGCAAUCAUGGCUCGCUGCAGCCUCAAACCCCUGGGCUCAAGAGAUCCUCUCACCUCAGACUCCAGAGUAGUUAGGGCUACAGGCAGUAGUUAGGGCUACAGACAUCACCAUGUCCAGCUAAUCUGUAAAUUUUUUUGUACAGGUGGGGUUUUGCUAUGUUGUCCAGGCUGGUCUUGAACUCCUGCCCUCAAGUGAUCCUCCCAUCUCAGCCUCCCAAAGCCCUGGGAUAAUGGCGUGAGCCGCCACACCUGGCCGCCUUUGGUCUGUUUGAAGAGGGACAUGGCAUGAUCAGAUGGGGCUUUUAGGCCUCUCUGACCCUGGUGUGGAGGGUGGGCUGGCAAGAAGGGGACGACUGUCUAAAGGAGAGAGUCUAAGACCUGGGCUGGGCAGGGCCAUGGUGACAAACAGGAGCAGACAGAGUCGGGCAGUAUAAAUGGAGGGGCAGGGACAGUGUUGAAGUUUCUAUUCUGAGCAACUAGAAGGCUCGUGGUACAGUUAAUUACCCUGAUGGGGAUGGAAGAGUCAGGCAGGGGAUGGGCAAUGGGCUCUGUUUCCACAGCGACUUGUGUUCCACGGAGGUCAAGAGGCCUGAGGGCCUGCAAGAACAUGGUCUGGGCAGGAGAUGGAGCUGCGGAAUGAAUGAGGAUAGGGGGCUGAGUCCCACAGGGCCAGAGCAUGGCUAGCAAAGUGGGGAUGACUCCAGGAGUGGCCUUCUGGGUGCCACGAAGGAAAUGUUUUAAGAAGUGAGAUUGGGUCACUGCUUUCAAUGUCAUAGAACAGAGCUGAGCAGUUGAGGAGGCGUAGUGGGUAGAAAGGGAGGUCGCAGCAGGCUGAAAGCAAACCGACAGGAGGGUUAGCGUCUUUUAGCAGGUAGGCAGGGCAGAAGAGAGCCACGGGGCAGAUCAGGGAAAGAAACACUGAAGCCAUCUGUGGCUGAGAAGGAGGGCAGUGGGGAGGAGUGUCUAAAAUUCUGAGCCAUCCCUGGCUUUUCUGGGCAGAAGGGGUCGCUCCCUCAGUGGCCCUAUGGCCUCUAACAUGCAUUUUGACCCCUGGAAUCUGCCUUCUCACCCAGUGGGGGCCCUGGAAGCUGGACAACACACAUUCACCCCUGUGUGCCUGUCCCUGAGAGUGGGGGUCAGGGGAGCAUGCCUGGGGUGGCGAGGUGAUUCUGCACUGGGCCGACACUCCCGGCUUUAACUGGAAGGCGAGGACCUUCCAACAGCACAGGCUGACAGGUCUUGUUCCAUGGGGGCUGGGCACCCAAGGUAUCUACUGAUGGUCUGAGGAAUCUACCGGGAUGGAUUCCUGAUUUUUUUUUUUUUUUUUCUGAGACGGAGUUUCGCUCUAGUUGCCCAGGCUGGAGUGCAAUGGCGUGAUCUCAGCUCACCACAACCUCCACCUCUCGGGUUCAAGUGAUUCUCCUGCCUCAGCCUCCUGAGUAGCUGGGAUUACAGGCAUGAGCCACCAUGCUCAGCAGAUUCGUGAUUUUUAAAAUGAAAGGGUGACUCAUGGGAGAAGCCUCUGGAACUGCCUUUGAAAAACAACCAGCCAAGACAUGAGAAAUUAGUUCCUCUGCCAUUUGGGGGUUUCCUGCCAACUGCUGGGUUUUCCUUUUGCACAGCAGGGAGGAAGGACGCCUGUUUCCCUUGGUCCCGGUGAGGCCAGGCCUCAGCUUCCUGCCCACCCGCCACUGCUGCUGGGGCAGGGAGGCAGUUUCCGGCUGUGGGGACCCAGACAAUGCCUGGCCAAGGGCCACCAUCGUCCUCUUCCUGGACACAGCUCCCGCCUCAUCCCAGGGUCUGGCCUGGGACACGCCCUAGAGGCCCUCAGCCCUGAGUCACUGCACCAUGCAGAUCCACCCUGAUUCUGGUCCCUGCAGAGCAGGCUCCUACACAAGGCAAGAAGAUGCUCCAGGGACAAGCCAAGGUGUAUGCAAGGCCCAGGUGCCUGAGAAACACGUCUCACCGACCUUGGGGCAGGGGCUGUUACAAGAGGCUUAUAGUCUAGUGGCAGAGACAAAAACCACACUCAAAUCAUUAGUGUACGGUAUGCACUGCUCAGGGACUCAAAUAUGUGACAGGAGGCUCCAAACAAGAGCGGAGACAAGGCGUAAAUAGCCCCCUGUGGACUGGAUGUUCUGACUCCUGGAUGGCCUCCAGAAGGAUGCCUUUUACGGUCUGUGAAAGAGCUCAGGGACCAAGAUGCUCAAAGCCCUUCAUGCCCAAGAGCCCCUCCUCAGGCUGGGACACGGGAAGCAGAGCUCGGAGGUGGAACUCGUGACUGUGUAUGGGCACAUGUGAGUGCGUGUGUGUGGACAGCCAGGCUUAGUGUAGACAACGUGUGAGGCUCAGACCCCAAGUGCUGACUACACCUAUGCACAUCCACACCUGCGUGUGAAAGAAGAUGCUAGAAAAGAACAAAAAUAACUUAAAAAAUAAAUCCAAUAAGAUGGCUGGAACAUAUAACAACUUCAAAUACUCCAUUUUAGUUCACCAUGUAAGGUGGGUUCCUGGGGGCUGAGGAGACUCGGGAGCUCUGCACCCCUCCUGCUCGCACCCAUCACUAGGUGGCUCACACAGCAGCCGCUCAACAAGUCUGGCUGCUCUCGCAUCAAAACCAAAACCCACUGCCCUCCCCUGCGCCCCCAGCACUGACCCCAACACUUUGGUUCGGGGCCCUCCUGGGCAGGUCACCUGCACUGCCUACUCACUCCUCAGCCCUCCAGGCCCUCCCACCUUGGAUCCUUCCCUGGGACCCUGCUCUGCGCCCUUCUCCCCCUGCCCAGGAACUGAAGGCUGAUGUUGUCACCCCGGUGCUGCGGCCUGUCCGUCUUCAGCACCUGUGCCCCACGCAGGCCCAGCAAACCCCUGGGCUCUGUUGUUCCCCGGGAUGGCUUUUCCAUCUGAUCCCCAGCUUGGGGCUGGCACCGCUUGGCUUUGCCCGGUCACCUCAUGCUUGGGCCAAAGUGCACCAACCCUUCUGUCCCGGGCCUGGCUUUUUGCCUCAAGGCAGCAAUGGCCCCAUGCCACCUCCACGAAGACCCAGUGGCUGCAGAACUCCCUGGUCUGGACUCCCCUGCUCCCUGCAGAGUGCCACCUGCUCCUCUCAAGAAGGCAGAACGUGAGGCCUUUCCUCACCUCCCGUGCAUUGGCACCCCUGCUGGGCCCACUCUGCUCCACCACUGGGGGCUGAUUCACUUUGUGCCACAUAUCUAAAAUAUUUCCUCAAAACAAGCCAAUAACACCCUUUGCGCAUGCCAUGACCUCAUGGAGCGUGGUCACCGGACAUUUCCUCCUGAGCUCUAGGCAGCUGUGGGGGAUGCUGGGUGGCAUAGCCCUUGCAUGUGGCUGACACUUAGCAAUGUUUGUGCCCAUGUUGCACAGGGAGAGCACAAGUCACUGACUCUGCUAGGGCCUGGGGUCAAGGAAAAUAGGCCCUUGGUGGGUGUCAGGAACAGAGUUGAUUCGCUGCAAGGGGCAAAGGAAGUGCACACUUGGGGGAUACUGAGGCAGCCACCGAGGAUGGUGGCUCUGUCAGAGGGAGCUAUGGCUGAGGGCCUGUCAUGGCUUCAGGUGAUAUUUCAGGUGAUUUGGGUGAUGCUGGGACUGGGGACCAUGCGCACAUCCCCUCAGCAAGGGACUAGGUUCACAGAAACAGCACGCGGCCCACCAGCCUGCUCACCUCCAUGAGCUGUCCCCUGUGCCAGACAGACAGCCUAACUCCAAGACCCUGUCUGAGCAGAGAGGGUUCGAGAAAAGACCUUGUCCUUCACCAUCUUUCAUGGGACAAAUGCUUCCAGAAUGAAUGAAUAAAUGAAGGGGAGGGCAAGGGUCUUCCAAGGAAAGGACCUCUGAGUUCAGCCUAGGCGACAGCUACACACUGUCUGCCGGUGGACACCCAACUCUCUAUCUUCCCCGAAAUCUGCUCGGCUAGUUGUGCUACCUCUCUGUGCCUCAGCUUCCUCACCUGUGGAAGGGGGACAGUGCCAGCUAUCUCUCAGAUCGUGGUGGCUGGGGUGCCAUGUGGCUCUGCCACUCCUUGACUGUAAGGCCUCAGGCCAGCCUCUUCAUCUACCCACCUCUGCCUCCUCGUCCAUCACACGGAUCGGAAACAGGACGUACUGCUUAUCAGCUGCUAUGCAAUAAAUUGUGUUCCCUAAAAGGUAUGUUGAAGCCCCAGCCCCCUGUGGCUCAGAAUAUGAUCUUAUUUGGAGUUAAAGUCUUUGCAAAUGUAAUUAGUUAUGUUCACAUGAGGUCACAUUGGCUGGAGUGGCUCAUGCCUGUAAUCCCAGCAUUUAGGGAGGCAAAAACAUGAGGAUCCAUGGAGCCCAGAAAUUCGAGACCAGCCUGGGCAGCAUAGCGAGACCCCAUUCUCCACAAAAAGAAAGAUGAGAUCACACUGUAGGAGGGCAGCCCCUGGUCCAAAAUGCCCAUGUCCUUACAAGAGGAGGAGUCACAGACACACAGCAGGCAGGGUGGGGAGGUGUGAAGGCACAGACACACACAUGGGGAGAUGCCGUGUGCAACAAGGCCAGCUAGGAGGAAUGAGUCUACAAGCCAAGGACCUCCAGGAAGUCAAGGCCAGGCACUAACAGAAAGGCAGACUCUUCCCUGCAGCCUUUGAGAGAGCAUGGCGCAGCUGCCACCUUGAUCUUGGACUCUGGCCUCCAGCCCUGUGAAAGAAUGAGCUUUGGCUGUGUUGAGUGCCCAGUGUGUGGUGCUUUGCCAUAGCAGCCACGGGAGUUCCACAUGGUGCUGCAUAGGGAUCCGGGGCUGCAGAUCCCCGUGUGGGGCUGGACGUGUAGGGGAGCAGCAGCCACAUCCCUUGUCGGCCCUGGUGCCGUGCCCUUACUCCCCG